rnacentral:rRNA from 1 species
UACAGAGGAUGCAAGCGUUAUCCGGAAUGAUUGGGCGUAAAGCGUCUGUAGGUGGCUUUUUAAGUCCGCCGUCAAAUCCCAGGGCUCAACUCUGGACAGGCGGUGGAAACUACCAAGCUGGAGUACGGUAGGGGCAGAGGGAAUUUCCAGUGGAGCGGUGAAAUGCGUAGAGAUUGGAAAGAACACCAAUGGCGAAAGCACUUUACUGGGCUAUCACUGACACUGAGAGACGAAAGCUAGGGUAGCAAAUGGG